AUUGAACGCUGGCGGAAUGCUUUACACAUGCAAGUCGAACGGCAGCACGGACUUCGGUCUGGUGGCGAGUGGCGAACGGGUGAGUAAUACAUCGGAACGUGCCCAGUCGUGGGGGAUAACGUAGCGAAAGCUACGCUAAUACCGCAUACGAUCUAAGGAUGAAAGCGGGGGAUCGCAAGACCUCGCGUGAUUGGAGCGGCCGAUGGCAGAUUAGGUAGUUGGUAGGGUAAAGGCCUACCAAGCCGACGAUCUGUAGCUGGUCUGAGAGGAUGAUCAGCCGCACUGGGACGGAGACACGGCCCAGACUCCUACGGGAGGCAGCAGUGGGGAAUUUUGGACAAUGGGCGCAAGCCUGAUCCAGCCAUUCCGCGUGCAGGAUGAAGGCCUUCGGGUUGUAAACUGCUUUUGUACAGAACGAAAAGGCUCUGGUUAAUACCCGGGGCUCAUGACGGUACUGUAAGAAUAAGCACCGGCUAACUACGUGCCAGCCGCCGCGUAA
rnacentral:rRNA from 1 species